UACGGAGGGUGCGAGCGUUAAUCGGAAUUACUGGGCGUAAAGCGCACGCAGGCGGUUUGUUAAGCUAGAUGUGAAAGCCCCGGGCUCAACCUGGGAUGGUCAUUUAGAACUGGCAGACUAGAGUCUUGGAGAGGGGAGUGGAAUUCCAGGUGUAGCGGUGAAAUGCGUAGAUAUCUGGAGGAACAUCAGUGGCGAAGGCGACUCCCUGGCCAAAGACUGACGCUCAUGAGCGAAAGUGUGGGUAGCGAACAGC
rnacentral:rRNA from 1 species